UUUCACUGAAACAAGGGGAAGGCUCAAAUGGGGUGUUGGCCCCCGAGGCAGCAGUAAAGAAUUUUGUGCAAUAUACGAAGGUAAGACACAGAGAGGGCACACUACUUAGUCCGUCAAAUUAAGUGCCAGCAGACGCGGUGAAACUUAAGGGUUAGUCUUAUAGGCAAAAGCGUAAGGGGUGUGAUAGGCCGUCUUAUUUAAGAGGGUAAAUGGAAUUUUGCUGUAAUGGUGGAAUGUGUUAAUAGAAAAAAGAACUUUAGACGUGAAGACUAUUUAUUUCAAAGACUAUACUGUGCGGGCUAAAACACGAGAGUAUGGGGAGCAAACAGGAUUAGGUAUCCUGGUAGUCUAUACUGUCAAUAAUGAAGAAGAUGUGAAGCAACCCUAAAAAGUAAGAAAUUUUCCGCUUGAGUAGUACGAUCGCAAGAUUAAAAUUCAAAAAACUUGGCUGUUCACUGUUUUAAUUAGAGGAGCGUGUCGUUUAAUUCGAUAGUCCGCGAGAGACCUUACCCAAACUUGAAUUCCUUAUUGACAGGUAUUGCAUGGCCGUCGUCAAUUUGUGUAUUAAAUAUAAAACAAAUUUAACCCAGUGGUUUGUCUAUUGGAUGAAGUCAGGUCUUAUUGUCCUAAUGUUUGGGGAUUAGAUGCGCUACAUUUUUUUAUACAAUGGGAAACUUUGAAAGGGAAACCCAAAAAUAAGAGUUCGGAAGGUGCCUGGAAGAUAACGGGAAGUUGGAUUUAAUAGUAAUUGAAAAGUAGAGCGUUUCAAUGAAAUUUAGUCAGUGUUAGUACAAAUAGCCCGUCGCCUUUGCUUAGAAAGAUUAUUUGGUUGCUCCUCAAGAGGGUUCUUAGUAUUUUCGAGGUAGAGUAAGUCGUAACA
rnacentral:rRNA from 1 species